rnacentral:rRNA from 1 species
UGGCUCAGGACGAACGCUGGCGGCGUGCCUAAUACAUGCAAGUCGAGCGAACCACUUCGGUGGUUAGCGGCGGACGGGUGAGUAACACGUGGGCAACCUGCCUGUAAGACUGGGAUAACUUCGGGAAACCGGAGCUAAUACCGGAUAAUCCUUUUCCUCUCAUGAGGAAAAGCUGAAAGWCGGUUUCGGCUGUCACUUACAGAUGGGCCCGCGGCGCAUUAGCUAGUUGGUGAGGUAACGGCUCACCAAGGCGACGAUGCGUAGCCGACCUGAGAGGGUGAUCGGCCACACUGGGACUGAGACACGGCCCAGACUCCUACGGGAGGCAGCAGUAGGGAAUCUUCCACAAUGGACGAAAGUCUGAUGGAGCAACGCCGCGUGAGCGAUGAAGGCCUUCGGGUCGUAAAGCUCUGUUGUUAGGGAAGAACAAGUACCGGAGUAACUGCC